AGAAAUUCGUGGAUAUCAUGUAGAUUAGCUGCGUCAAGUUAUUGGUUUAGUGUUAUUUUUUGUUAUUAUGUCUUGUUAUCAUGUUUUUGUUAUUGUUUAACUGUACUCAUCUCCUUCAGGCCACAUUUAGGUAUAUGGUUAAAGCCGAUACGCUCGCAAUUCAUUUAAAUAGUUUUAGCUAACAUUGAAUUUACUGUAGCCAUCUCGCGAGUGGUUAAUUAAAACUUAUCUAGUGUGUUGGAUUUUGGUCUCUGGGUGCAGCGCAGUAACUAAUAGCUUCAGGAAAAUUAAACUUCAAUGUAAUGAUGUAAAAAGUUAAUGAGCGUAGCCUAGCCUAUCGCAUUUUGGUAACGGGGAAAGUCAGGUUAGGUAAUGUUAGCUUAGAUUGUUAGGUCAGGUUAGGUUAGGUUACGGGGUUAGAUUGUUCAGCCAGGUCAGGUUGAGUUAAAUUUAGUUUGGUUAGAAAUUAAGUUUUAACGGGGGAAGUUAGGUUAGGUAAAAUUAGCUUAGAUUGUUAGGUCAGGUUAGGUAAGGUUAGCUUAGAUUGUUAGGUCAGGUUAGGUUAGGUUACGGGGAAAGUUAGAUUGUUCAGCCAGGUCAGGUUGAGUUAAAUUUAGUUCAGUUAGAAAUUAAGUUUUAACGGGGGAAGUUAGGUUAGGUAAAAUUAGCUUAGAUUGUUAGGUCAGGUUAGGUAAGGUUAGCUUAGAUUGUUAGGCCAGGUUAGGUUAGGUUACGGGGUAAGUUAGAUCGUUCAGCCAGGUCAGGUUGAGUUAAAUUUAGUUCGGUUAGAAAUUAAGUUUAAUUAGGCUAUUAUUUAUGACAAAUCCGUGUGAUAUAUUUUGCGCUGCGCCGUUAUUGUAAUUGGCAAGCCUGGGAUUAAGAACAGGACGGACAAGUUCCAGGAGUUUUAUCUUAUGUAUAAUUUUGUCAUUUUUAGCGUCGUUUUAUUAUACCUACCAAACCCGAUACACUCUGAUACACACUCGUAACUCAUUUCAUUGUCUCCAUUUACUCAUUCCUUCUUACAUAACAAUAAAGAACGUAAAACUAUAUCGUCUGAUGUCAUAAGAAUUGCGCGCAUGUUUAGAUUUUAUGAGAAAGGGGUCGC